rnacentral:lncRNA from 1 species
AUGCCUUGUGGAAUUGCCCUGCAGGAACUGGAGAACAUAGCAUUGUGGCUUUGCAGUAAAAGGUACAUUUGGACCCUGGAUCUGGUCUUGGAAUGUCAAAGAAUGAAUCAUUUAGUUGAAAAUAUCUUUAGAAAUCCAUUGGAAACCAACAACCUGCCUUUUGCUGGUGUGCUGGAUUUUUCCAGCGCUGAAUUUUAAAAAUUUGUUAAGAUUGCUGCUAGAUGAAGUUUACCCACACUACCUAAAAAUGGAUUAUCUGCAUUGCUUCUUUGAGUUCUGAAUGUAUUGUUUUUCCUAAAACAUCUUAGAGGGCAAUCAAAUUUAAACAAAAAUAUUAUAAGCACUUCAAAAAUCAUCUUGUUCACUGAUUCUCUUUUUUUCCCUGAAUAAAAAUAAAUUCUUUUUUUUCUAAAUAACUCUU